ensembl:misc_RNA Metazoa_SRP Metazoan signal recognition particle RNA
GCUGGGCGUGGUGGCAUGUGCCUGUAAUCCCAGCUACUUGGGAGGCUGAGGCGGGAGAAUCGCUUGAACCCAGGAGGUGGAGUUUGCCGUGAGCCGAGAUCACGCCACUGCACUCCAGCCUGGGUGACAGAGCGAGACCCUGUCUCAA